rnacentral:ncRNA from 1 species
AAAGUAUCUCUGGCAACUGUUUAUCAAAAACACAGCUCCCUGCGAACUCGCAAGAGGAUGUAUAGGGGGUGACACCUGACCAAUGCCAGAAGGUCAAAUAUCGGUGGUGCAUGGUCGCAAGAUUGUGUGCUGGCUGAUAUAAGCCCUGGUGAAUGUCGGCCGUAACUAUAACGGUCCUAAGGUAGCGAAGUACCUUGUCGGGUAAGUUCCGACGCGCACGAAUGGUGUAAUGACUGGAGAACUGUCUCGAAGACCUGCUCGGUGAAAAUACAAUACCGGUGAAGAUGCCGGUUACCUGCAGAUAGACGAAAAGACCCUAGAAGCUUUACUGCAGCUUGAUAUUGAGUAUAUUGUUUUAAUGCGUAGCAUAGAUGGGAGAGGUUUGAUGGUUAGGGUCUCGGCUCUGAUCUACUCGUCAGUGAAAUACCAUUCUUUACAAUAAUAUGCUCUAAUCUCUAAGGCAAAAACUUAGAGAGACAGUAUCUGGUGGGUAGUUUUACUGGGGCGGUAUCCUCCUAAAGAGUAACGGAGGAGUUUAUUAAGGUUAGCUAGGCGCGAAUGGAAACCGUGCCGAUAGUGUAAUGGCACAAGCUAGCUUAACUGUAAGACGUACAUGUCGAGCAGAUACGAAAGUAGAACAUAGUGAACCGACAUUUCGCAUUAGAUGCGGAUGAAGAUUAACGGAUAAAAGCUACUCUAGGGAUAACAGGCUAGUUCCGCCUAAGAGUUCAUAUCGACGGCGGAGUUCGGCACCUCGAUGUCGGCUCACCUUAUCCUGGUGGUGGAGAAGCUGCCAAGGGUUUAGCUGUUCGCUAAUUAAAAAGGUACGCGAGCUGGGUUCAAACCGUUAAGAUCAUAAACGAUUGUGAUUUUAACAGUUUGAACCGUCGAGGAAAGUAAAGAAAUCUCGUAUAUUUCUUUCAAUGUUUUAAUCUGAGAUUAAGACCGCUAUACACAGUUGUGUAUAUCACGGCGGCCCCGCCAAUAAAACGACGGGGAGAAUUUCACUUAUAUCGGUGAAGUCCUACUUUUAUAAAAGAGGAUAAUACCGAGGGAAGCGUAAGCACCCGUAGAGACUAAAUGUGAAAUAUUUUUUGAGAAAUCAAAAGAGAAAGUUAUAGUCCAAUCCCACAAGUAAUUGUGGUUCCCAUUUUUGUAUUUAAACGCGCAAAAAUGAAGAGACUAAAUCAUUUUUAGUAAAAAAUGAUCGUCCGAACUUUUGUUUACAAAAGUUUUAGGAAGUAAAAUAUAGAUGCGUGAGACAGGUUGGUCUCCUAUCUACUGCAGGCGUUGAUUCUUGAGAAGAUCUGCUCUUAGUACGAGAGGACCGGAGUGGACUGACCUCUGGUGUGUGGGCUCUACUGCCAAGUGGACUGCCCAGUAGCUAUGUCGGGAAUGGAUAAGUUCUGAAAGCAUCUAAGAACGAAGCCAACUUCAAGAUGAGGAAUCGUUUGAGAAACCUAAGAGAUGAUUAGGUUGAUAGGCACUAGGUGUACAGACAGUAAUGUCUUUAGCCGAGGUGUACUAAUCGUUCGAUUCCUAUUAGGAA